rnacentral:rRNA from 1 species
AUGUACUCCGCUCCAGGCAACAACUCUUUGGCUCUUGCAGCCCCACGGCCAGGAAUGGAGCUGGGCAACGUGCAGCAACAUCCUAACCAGGCUUUUGGCCUUGGGCCUGGUGGGAAACAACGCUCAUCCAGUCUGGAGGCGCCGAUAAUGCUACUCACAGGCCACCAGAGCGCUGUCUACUGCAUGAAGUUCAACCCUGCUGGAACUGUGAUAGCAUCGGGCUCCCAUGACAAGGAUAUCUUCCUGUGGUAUGUCCAUGGUGAGUGUAAGAACUACAUGGUACUGAGAGGGCACAAGAAUGCUAUCCUUGAUCUUCACUGGACCACUGAUGGGAGCCAGAUAAUCUCUGCAAGCCCUGACAAGACUUUGAGGGUUUGGGAUGUUGAAACUGGCAAGCAGGUUAAGAAGAUGGCUGAGCACUCAUCCUUUGUCAACUCAUGUUGCCCGUCACGUAAGUGGCCACCUCUUGUUGUGAGUGGAUCGGACGACGGUACAGCAAAGCUCUGGGACCUGCGUCAGAGAGGGGCUAUCCAAACACUUCCAGACAAGUUCCAGAUUACUGCUGUGAGCUUCUCAGAGGCUGCAGAUAAGGUUUUCACUGGUGGCCUGGAUAAUGACGUCAAGUGGUGGGAUCUUCGCAAGAAUGAAGUCACAGAAUCUCUGAAAGGACAUCAGGACAUGAUAACUGGGAUGCAGCUUAGUCCUGAUGGUUCGUACCUCCUCACCAAUGCGAUGGACAAUGAGCUCAAGAUCUGGGACCUGCGCCCGUACGCACCAGAGAACCGCAACAUCAAGACCUUUACAGGGCAUCAGCACAACUUUGAGAAGACCCUGUUGAAGUGCAGCUGGUCACCCGACAAUCGCAAGGUCACUGCUGGGAGUGCUGAUCGCAUGGUCUACAUCUGGGACACGACAUCGAGGCGGAUCCUGUACAAGCUUCCUGGGCACAAUGGUUCCGUUAAUGAGACCGCUUUCCAUCCCACCGAGCCCAUCAUCGGAUCCUGCAGCAGCGACAAGCAGAUCUAUCUCGGCGAGCUUUAG